GACGAACCGUGCAAACGUUGUUCGGAAUCACUGGGCUUAAAGGGCGCGUAGGCGGAUUCUCAAGUCGGUGGUGAAAUCGUUCGGCCCAACCGGACAAGUGCCGCCGAUACUGGGAGUCUCGAGGGAGGUAGGGGUCGAGGGAACUAAUGGUGGAGCGGUGAAAUGCGUAGAUAUCAUUAGGAACGCCGGUGGCGAAAGCGCUCGACUGGACCUUCACUGACGCUGAGGCGCGAAAGCCAGGGGAGCAAACGGG
rnacentral:rRNA from 1 species